rnacentral:rRNA from 1 species
AGGACGAACGCUGGCGGCGUGCUUAACACAUGCAAGUCGAGCGGAAAGGCCCUUCGGGGUACUCGAGCGGCGAACGGGUGAGUAACACGUGAGCAACCUGCCCUUGGCUCUGGGAUAGCCUCCGGAAACGGGGAUUAAUACCGGACAUUCACUUUCUCCUGCAUGGGGGGUUGGUGGAAAGUUUUUCGGCCAGGGAGGGGCUCGCGGCCUAUCAGCUUGUUGGCGGGGUAACGGCCCACCAAGGCGACGACGGGUAGCCGGCCUGAGAGGGCGAUCGGCCACACUGGGACUGAGACACGGCCCAGACUCCUACGGGAGGCAGCAGUGGGGAAUAUUGCACAAUGGGCGCAAGCCUGAUGCAGCGACGCCGCGUGGGGGAUGAAGGCCUUCGGGUUGUAAACCCCUUUCACCAGGAGCGAAUUCAGACGGUACCUGGGGAAGAGCGCCGGCUAACUACGCGCCAGCAGCCGC